UCUGUAACACCCACAACCAAACUGCUGCAAAACUCACAUGCCAAGCUGAAAGCGCUGCAUGAAUCUAGAGAAGAGCAUCAGCCUCUCAGAAUGACAAGUCAAGGAUCCGAAGGAAACAAGAUGGCAUCAAAAGGAGCUGAGACCCCACUGUUUAUAAGAAGAAAUAAGAAAUUGCCUGUUACAGAAUAUUUCAACAAUCCAAAGUCUCCUUUCAAGCCCAACACUCAGGAGAGCAGAUCAGCAAGACCAAUGUCAGUAAGGAGUGUGCAAGGCUACAGCCCUCAGAGAGCACUCUAUCCCUUAACACAUGGAAGGGAGAAGUGAACACUAGGUGGUCCUUUCACAAAAGUGGACUUCACACUGACAGAACAUCAACGUAGUUUAAAAAUGACCAAACAGUCCUCUAUCUGGUGGCACAUGUAAGUCUCAAAAACACUUACAUAUAAUGCUAGAAAUAAAUAUUAAUGAAGACUAUUUCUAUUUGUAGUUGUAAUAUUUGUAGAAUAAAUACACUUAUUUAAAUGUCAUUUCCUCUCCUGUACUAAUAAUAUUUGUACUUAAACAUAGGGCCAGUCCCAGAAAACCAUCCAUAAUCAGAAUUAAGU
rnacentral:lncRNA from 1 species